rnacentral:lncRNA from 1 species
AAAAGGUGAUAUAAGGACAAUUAUAGAAGACUUGAGGAAUAAUCUUUAUAGCCGUAUUUUAAAGAAAGAGAAAGAAAAAGGAGUAAAGUGUGUCUUAUUCCUAGAGUUGGAGUUGAAGUCGGAAUUUGGAAGAUUCUCUUCACUUGCCGGCCAAUUUCUUUUUUCUUUUAAGAAAAGAAGGGUAUAGUAAGUAAAUGAAGGAGAGGGAAAUUUUAUAAUCUUGGUCUUCGGUCAGAGAUUUUGGAGGGAUAUGCCCACUAGUUCAAUCUGCUCAUUGUAACUCUCCUUUUCAGUCCAAAAACAAUAGGGCUAGCUGGAUUCUCCUUUCCUCCAAAAUCGAUUAUUGGCCUUCAUCUCCAUGCUUUUGUUCUAUCUAUAUACAAACAAAUAUUUAUCAAUUCAAAUUCCAACUUUGAAAAAGAUAAAAAUAAUAGUAAGCAAAAGUAAUUUAUGUACAAUUUAAAUAUAAAGUAGAGGUACCUCUAUUACACACACGAUACACGUGCGGAAAUUCAGCACUAAAAUAUCCUGACACCGAACCAAUAUCAUCAAUCACAAUUCCGGAUAAUAUUUUACCCUUACUCUUACAUCCAUACUUAUAAAUGUAUAAAUUCUUCAAUAAAUACACAAUAUGGAUAUAUCUUGUAAAACGCUUCCCAAGAUAUAUCAAUAAAACUCUCAAAUCUUUGCUUUCAAAAGAAAAAUUACUUUGUAUAAAAGUUACAAAUCAUUUAAUUUAGACUCUUUCAAAUCUGUAAAUUAUUUAUUAUUGUGAUAAAUUGUAUUUCAAUCAAUUAUAUUCAACUCAGUAACUAAUCUUUACGUUUUAUAAGCCUCGGGUUUUAAAACCGCCUCAUACACAAGGUAAAAAUCGAACCCUCGAUUAAUGAUUAAGAUAAAAAGUAUUCUUACCAUCUCACUUAAACCAUGAUUAAUUUUUUCUCAUUUUCGGUUUGGGUUUUAGGCGAAAAUGGAAGGUUGAUUUCAUGAUGAUGUCAUUACCAAUCCAAUAAUUAAGAACCCUAUUAUUUCAUGUCUAUGAGUUCCUUGUGGAAAGGAAAAGUUUUUCUUGGUUUCUUUGAUUACUUUUCAACUACCUAAAGUAGAGUUACCUUUUUGUUUUAUGGUUUGAAUUCCAUGGAUAUGAAAGGGGAGAGAAAAGGCAAGGCUGUAUUUUUUACCAUCUUCACAUUCCGUUAAUCUACGAAAGCAUUUCCAGUUAUAUCUCAUCUAAUCUAAUCAGGUUCAUAUUCAUCUAAUGUGUUAUGGUAAAUGUUUAGAAGGAGUACUUUCCUUUUUCAUUUUCUUAAUAAUUCUACCUCUGUGAAAUUAAAUGCUAAUUACAUUUUAUCGGACCUAAUUAUUUUCGGAUAUGAAUGUACAUUUAAUACAAGGUUUUUUUUUUUUUUAAAUUCACAUAUUUAUAUGAUGAUAUUUAGAGGUGUUUAUGGCCAGAUCAGAUUCUACCGAAAUUUUAGACCCAAUUGAUAGGUCCGGGCUUGGCCUGCAAAAAUAAAUUUAAAAUUUUGUUCAAGUCCAGCCUGGAUUAUAGAUGCUAAACCCGAACCUGACAUGUAUUAAUUUUUUGUUUUAAAAGACUGAAGAUAAUUUCAACUCUCUGUUUCUCGUUCUCGAGAAAUAUACAGAUAAUCAUACAUAAAAAAUAUUUGUAGAGUAAGAGAGACAGACAAAAGCUUGAAGAAAGGUUUAGGGGCCGUAGUUUUUUCUCGAGAAAUAGUUGGAACGAAUGUGGGUUUUUCUUAUUUUGAUGGCAUUAUAUAUGAACUAUGGGAGUAGCAUUUAAAAAUUUGAUGGCAUUAUAUAUGAACUGUGGGAGUAGCAUUUAAAAAUUUCUUUUCUUUUUCUAUAAGAAAAAUAAAAGAACAAAAUAUAUGAACUGUGGAAGUAACCGUGGAAGUAUGGUGCAUACAUACCAAGCAAACCAGUGGGACGACAAUGGCUGAAGGUUGGAGCGGAGAAGGCGACAAAGGAAGCUACAAUGGUGCACGUCGGAGACAGAGGAAGCAACAAGAAGAUGGAUGACGCAAGUCGCAAUGCUUAUGGGCAGGAGUGGGACGAUGCAAUGGUGAUGGUCGCCAACGACAAAGGAAGCGGGAGACAAAGUGGUGAGCGG